ensembl:processed_transcript 2610203C22Rik RIKEN cDNA 2610203C22 gene
GUUUACAAUAGCAUCCAGCUGCAGAGCAGUCUGCUGGCAAGAGCCUGGACAGGCCCUAGAGAACGAAGAGGACGAAGAUGACAAGCAGCUUUGACUUCCUUCUGUUUUCAUGUUGAGCAGCAGCUGCUGCUAGAGCCUGGUAUGUCUGAGAUGAUUCCCACUCAUCACUGACUCUCUUGGGUGAGAGGAAGCGCCACACUCAUCCCUAGAAGAGUAUGAAGAAAAAGUGGAGGAAGCUGGAACUAAGUUCAAUGCAGCUCAGCAGCUAUGAGAAGUAUGCCGCUGUGGGAUGUUAAGAGUGGAGGAGGCCACACAUGUGCAGUGAUUCAGAAUUGAGAGCAUCAUUCUGUCCGUGGGAGCUCUCUGCUCAAAGGUUAUUGAGAGCCUCCAGGGUGAAGCAAGGCAUGGAAAGAGAUGUGCUUCACCCACUGAGGCCUCUACAAAAGCUGCAAAUAAUUCUUCCUAGAAAGUAACUCCCCAGCAGUGAAAACUUAGUUUAAGGUACAAUGAUGGAUGAAUAUAGGAUCAAAUAUUUAUCUUUAAUUAAACAUAUUCAUGGCCAC